UGCCAGCAGCCGCGGUAAUACGAAGGUCCCAAGCGUUGUUCGGAAUUACCGGGCUUAAAGAGCCCGUAGGUGGUUAAAAAAGUUGAUGGUGAAAUCCCAAAGCUCAACCUUGGAACUGCCAUCAAAACUUUUUAGCUAGAGUGUGAUAGAGGUAAGUGGAAUUUCUAGUGUAGAGGUGAAAUUCGUAGAUAUUAGAAAGAACACCAAAUGCGAAGGCAACUUACUGGGUCACUACUGACACUGAGGAGCGAAAGCAUGGGUAGCGAAGAGGAUUAGAUA
rnacentral:rRNA from 1 species